GAAUUCACUGCUAUUACCACGUUUCCUCCCAUCCUGAAGCAGAUAGCCUGAUAGAAUUAAGGAAUGACCUUUUGGAGACACAGUUACAGUGCCAAUUGGGUAGCAGCAGCUUGGAGGGCUGGGGUAGGAUUCCUCAGAAGGAGUAUAUGCUUUGAAUCAGCAUCCAAUAUAUUGUAUAGUUUCUCCCAUAGCAAGGAUACACAGGUCUCAGUAUUGAGGUGUAAAAAAACGGAACAGGCCCUCUCAAUAUUACCCAUAGCGACCCACUAGGAAAGUUUUGCUUCCUGUUCCUGUGACCUUAAGCUCUGCUGAACUUGAAGUUUUGGUUCCAGAGCAGGGAAAACUUCUGCCAGAAGACACAACAAACAUUCCAUUGAACUGUUCUCCCUGGCCACUUAGGCCCUCUGAUGCUCCUAAGUAAACAGGCAAUGAAAGGAAUGACAGUGUUAGGAGGGAUGAUUGAUCCAGAUUUCCAAGGGGAAAUUGCAUUGCUUCUCUACAAUAGUGGUAAGGAAGAUUAUGUCUGGUGUGCAGGAGAUUCUUCAGGGCAUCUCUUGGUGCUGCUAUGUCCUGUGAUUAGUCAAUGGAAAACUACAACAGCCCAAUCCAAGAAGGAUAACCAAGGGCACAGACUCUUCAGGAAUGAAGGUGUGGGUCCAGGAAAAGAGCUGAGACCUGCUGAGAGUGGAGGGAAUACAGAAUGGGUAAUAAAGGAAGGUAGUUACAAAUACCAAAUAAGGCCAGGUGACCAGUUGCAGAAAUGAGGAUUAUAAUUGACAUGAGUGUUUCUAUCGUUUUGUUGUUGUUAAGAAUGUGUUUGUACAGAUUUUUGUAUUUUCUUUCUUCAAUUUCCUUACCAUGUAAUGUAACAUCAAUUAAGAGAAUAUCAGUGGCUAACAUAUUUAAGUUUAAGAUACUAAAAGAAUGUCCUUCAAGCUCCAUUGCCAUCUAUUCUAUAAUUAAUACUGUGUUUGUGGUUACAUAAGGGAUAGUUAUAUCAUGUUAGGCGUAAUUGUGACCUGGUUAUAUAUGUAAUGGGUCUAUAAUUGUACAUAAUAUAGUUAUUCCAUGUUAAGGAUAUGAUCUGGUGAUAUUUUCAUUUAGAAAUUAAGCAUGUCUUUUUUGUGAAAAAAAAGAAAGCUAUUUAUUUAUUUAUGUAUUAAGCAUGUCUUAAGGAGAUGUGAUUGUGUGUUAAGUUGGCAAGGGAUGGACUUGGGAUGGCUAUUUUUGAUUGUCAAUUUGACUACUUCUAGAAUUAACUAAAACUGAAGCAACUGGGUACAUCUGUGAGGUAUUUUUCUUAAUUCAAUAAUUUGAAGUGGGAAAAUCCACUUUAAAUCCAGAUCUUUUAGGGUGGAAAAAUCCACCUUUAAUCUGGGACACAGAUUCUGCUGGCAACCUAUAUAAAGGACAAGGAGUUCUCAUUCUUGCUGACAAAUCCAUUCCUUCACUGGGAUUAGAGUAUAAUUCUUUAGGGUCUGCCAUAUACUGGAACCAGCUGAGACAUUCAGCCUCAAGGACUGAACAAUUACAAGAUUCUUGGACCUUCCAUUGGUAGACAGCCAUUUUGGAGUACCUGGACCACACAGCCUAUGGGACAAGCUGAUCUGGUCCUGCCACCACAGAUCAAACCGUUCCUGUCUUGCCAGGUUACCAUACGGCUCUGACUUUAGGGGUGAUGCCUGUGCCUGCUGCCAUUUUGGUGAUGACCAUUACUGCCUACUUAGUGACUGGGUCUUGCAACUCCUGUGUGCUUCAGAGGCCUCUUGUGACUAGAGUUUUGCUCUGAGAUUUUGAUAGAGGGGCCGUCUGUGCAUCUUUCCAUAGUGACCCUUCAUGCUGGUUAUAUGUUUACAGCACCCCUCAUCAUCCCUCCAGCUGGUUCCCAAUCUCUAUUCCCAAACCACCUGACUCUGAACCUCCGUUAGCUGGGGCCACACCAUUCUAAAGCUCCUCCAUUUUGGUUGAACUGUGACAAUUCUGGAACUUAAAAUCAUUUGGUUUCCAGAACUAAAAUAAUUUAUUUCUAUAGAAAUAUAGGGCCUUGCCCUCAACAUCCUGAUUCCUAGGCUUGAGCCAGGA